UCUGGCUCCUUUCGGGGUCCGAGUUGUAAUUUGUAGAGGAUGCUUUUGGUGAGGUGCCGCCCGARUUCCCUGGAACGGGACGCCACAGAGGGUGAGAGCCCCGUCUGGCUGGCCACCGAGCCUCUGUAAAGCUCCUUCGACGAGUCGAGUAGUUUGGGAAUGCUGCUCAAAAUGGGAGGUAUAUGUCUUCUAAAGCUAAAUAUUGGCCAGAGACCGAUAGCGCACAAGUAGAGUGAUCGAAAGAUGAAAAGCACCUUGAAAAGAGGGUUAAAUAGUACGUGAAAUUGUUGAAAGGGAAGCGCUUGUGACCAGACUUGGGCGCGGCGGAUCAUCCGGGGUUCUCUCCGGUGCACUUCGCCGUGUCCAGGCCAGCAUCAGUUCGUCGCGGGGGAAAAAGGCUUCGGGAACGUGGCUCCUCCGGGAGUGUUAUAGCCCGUUGCAUAAUACCCUGCGGUGGACUGAGGACCGCGCAUCUGCAAGGAUGCUGGCGUAAUGGUCACCAGCGACCCGUCUUGAAACACGGACCAAGGAGUCGUCUUCGUAUGCGAGUGUUCGGGUGUCAAACCCCUACGCGUAAUGAAAGUGAACGCAGGUGAGAGC
rnacentral:rRNA from 1 species